CAGCCGCCACGGGAAUACAGAGGGUGCAAGCGUUAAUCGGAAUUACUGGGCGUAAAGCGCGCGUAGGUGGUUUGUUAAGUUGGAUGUGAAAUCCCCGGGCUCAACCUGGGAACUGCAUCCAAAACUGGCAAGCUAGAGUAUGGUAGAGGGUGGUGGAAUUUCCUGUGUAGCGGUGAAAUGCGUAGAUAUAGGAAGGAACACCAGUGGCGAAGGCGACCACCUGGACUGAUACUGACACUGAGGUGCGAAAGCGUGGGGAGCAAACAGGAUUAGAUACCCCGGUAGUCCCUGUCUCUUAUAC
rnacentral:rRNA from 1 species